AAACUGCUAAAUCUUUUUACAGUGUUUUACCCUUCCUGCUUGUGUAACAAGAAAUCUUUGUGACACUCUGCAGCAAUCUGGUGUCUGGGGAAUGCAAAGAAAGACUUCGAAAUCUUCCAGAAAAAAGACCUCUUACUGCAAGAUCCAGGGCUGCAGACUUGGAUUGAAAUAUAAUUUUAAAAGGGAUGUCUCUCUCCAGAGACAAAGAGGAAGAAUUUUAUGCAGAAUGGCUUCCCUCCUGCCCAGAUACCAUACAAGAAGAUUCAGAGAAGAUUUCAUUAUAUCUCACCAUGGACUAACUUACAGAACUCUUAACUCCCCUGUAUAUAAUUUUGGAGAAUCCACAGGACCCAUAUGGACUGAAACACUGGACCCUUUUGGUUUAGUUUUGUUUAAAACCCAGAGAGGUAAAAAUGUAACAUCCUUUGUGUUAAUGUAUCACAUUGCUGCUGACUGAAUAUGCAUGGAGUAACCAAUAAAUGACCUAUUUUAAAAAAUAAUCA
rnacentral:lncRNA from 1 species